GGUCUUAUAUUCAAUUAUGAUUUUAGAUUGCAAUUCUAAUGGUGUGAUGUAAUCACUAAGGUCU
rnacentral:tRNA from 1 species